CUUCAAAUGUUUUUAUUUUUUAUGGUUCAUUUAUUUAAACCUGCCAAAUAGAAGAAGCCUUUUCCUACAAUUAAGGCAGUGCUGCCAUGUAGGAAAAAAGGUCAUCUAACUUUCAGCCACGUUCUCAAUUAAAAAACGAAACCUUUUACUGUUUAGCAACGCCGUAACACAGUUUAAUAGUCUCUUAGUAUAAAAAUGAAAACUAACUGUGUAAUCAAAAGGCUUGCUGUUAUUAAAAAAAAAAAUGAAAAAAGCUUGCUAUACGUAGAAAGAGAAAGAGACGGAAAUUGCUGCUCCGUUUGUUCUCUGCCCCAUCCCUUCUUUGCUCUGUUCGUUUGCUGCCCCAUCCUCUCUCUUCAAUAGUGUAUUUGGAAGAGUUGGUCUAAAAUUUCCCACGGCCAAGGUGGGACCCAAAAUUGGGUGUGGAUACAUAGCUUGAGGUCAUUCACAGCAAAAGCUCCUACCUAUGCCUUGGAAUUUUAUAAAGGGCAUGCUUUGGAAAGUUUUUCUUAGACAAUCUGAUAACAUUCUUAAAUUUCCUGGAUCAAUGGUUUGCGUUUAGGCGAAACUGAAUGAAUUUUUUUAUCCUGUAUUUCUUUGUUUGUUGCUCUACAUUUUCCUUUGGUGUAGAAUUUUGUGAGACUAUUUACUACUGUAGUUUGAUGCAUUUCAUGGAUUAAUACUACAGGAUUUGAGUAUCAUAAUAUCUUAAUUAUUAA